GCUCAGUAACGAAUACUUCUAGCCGCGGAGUUGCUAACCUCUGGCUUUGUUUCUACUUGUAAUGAUUGGGAUCUUCUUUGCUCUGGAUGAGAGGGACACCGUCUUCACGCCACACAAUUCUCUCUUCACAUAAUGCUGCAGCUACUUCUACGUAAAGUUUAUGCUCCUCCUGAAGAACCCUUGCUGCAAGUGUUUCUGCAGUGUCAUUAGCCAGCACAGGCACGACCCCUUGAGCAAGAAUACGUCCAGUGUCAUAAUGCUCAUCGACAUAAUGGAUCGUUGGACCUGAAUACCUAGCUCCAGAAGCUAUGACUGCUUUAUGCACCUUUAUGCCAUAGUAGCCUUUGCCUCCAAAAGAUGGAAGAAGUGACGGAUGAAUAUUAAAUAUUGAUCUUGGAAAUGCUUGGACCAGCUCAGUAGGAAUAAGCUUUAAGUACCCAGCUAAAAGAAUGAAGUCGAUAUUGUAAGCUCUUAGAGAACCCACGAGAUCCUCCUCCGAUAAACCCUCCGAUGAAUUCUUUGCUUUAGGAAACACAAUAACAGGGAUGCCUUGCUCCCUUGCAUACUUUGCACCUCCACAAUCUUUUUUAUUGGUAACUAAAACAGCUACCUCUCCAUGAACAGUCCCUUCAAGUGUAGCUUCAUAAAUUGACCUGAAAUUUGAACCUCCACCAGAUACAAACACUGCAAGCUUCUUCUUUCUAAGUUCUUUACUCACGCCACUAUCAGGAACUGUAAUAGCUUCUCUUUCAAUUCUUUGCAAACAAUUCCUACACUGGAAAAAUUCCUUGCUGGGGAAACUUUUAGGAGAAAAAGAAACAUGGGGUUUCAAGAAAACCCCUUUAAGGGUAAGAAUAUUUGAAGAAGAAGGUGGUUUGAGCAAAAUCUGAAAGAAUGGAUUUUUUUGGUUUUGAAUUGGUGAAGUGGGUAAGGUAGAGGAGAGGCCAAAAGACAAAUUUUGAGUUUCCAUUGAUAUCGGAAGUGAACGGCGGAGAUUGACGGCGGAGGUUGGCGGCCGGCGGCGGGGAGGAGAAGGGAGGCGGGA
rnacentral:misc_RNA from 1 species